GCCGGUGUAGCUCAGUUGGUAGAGCACCUCACUUGUAAUGAGGGGGCCACGGGUUCAAAUCCUGUCACCGGCUCCA
rnacentral:tRNA from 1 species